GACGAACGCUGGCGGCGUGCCUAACACAUGCAAGUCGAGCGUGAUUUAUGAGGACGAAACUUCGGUCUAGGAAUCAUAAUGAAAGCGGCGGACGGGUGAGUAACGCGUAGGCAACCUGCCCUUGACACAGGGAUAGCCUCGGGAAACCGGGAUUAAAACCUGAUAACGCCAAAGAGCCACAUGGCUCUUGGGCCAAAGAUUUAUCGGUCAAGGAUGGGCCUGCGUCUGAUUAGUUAGUUGGUGGGGUAACGGCCUACCAAGACGACGAUCAGUAGCCGACCUGAGAGGGUGAUCGGCCACAUUGGAACUGAGACACGGUCCAAACUCCUACGGGAGGCAGCAGUGGGGAAUAUUGCACAAUGGGCGAAAGCCUGAUGCAGCAACGCCGCGUGAGCGAUGAAGGCCUUUGGGUCGUAAAGCUCUGUCCUUGGGGAAGAAACAAAUGACGGUACCCAAGGAGGAAGCCCCGGCUAACUACGUGCCAGCAGCCGCGGUAAAACGUAGCGUGC
rnacentral:rRNA from 1 species